GAAAGAAAGAAAUAAAGAUAGAAAGAAUAAGAGAAAGGGAGAGAGAGAGAGAAAGGAAAGAAAAAAAGAUGAUCGCGUUUGGUUCUCUUACGGUGCCUUUCGUGGAGCAACGCGACUUUCGAAGCAACACAACGCAACCAACACAACGGGCACGCGUCUAACUAUCAACCAUGGAGCUUUAGUCAAAUGGACGUCUGAAGUAUCUUCCUUAUCGAUCACCUACGAUACCAUAUACAUAAUUAACGCUUCUCAAAAUCGUUAACACAUCAAUCGAACAAGUAUGGACCAGUAUGCAAAAUCGAUUAUCAUCACGUAACGGUAAUAAGAGGCGAACUAGAGAAAAUACGAUGAGUUCUCUGAAGCUAACGUCAUCAUCGUCUCACGGCACCUUCGUAGUCAGCCGCGAAGCUGCAUUUGC